AAACUCUUCAUUAGCUAAUCAUUAGCUAAUUUGUAAAUGUCAUCUCAUUUUUUAGAAAAGCUUUAUGAGAGCUUCUACUAAUUAGCUAAUGGUUAGCUAAUGAAGAACUC
rnacentral:pre_miRNA from 1 species